ACUCACUCACACACUUCGAUGUCUUGCUUUUGUUUUAGCCUCGUGAUACCGAUGCUUCCGCCUGCGUGGCACCCGUCCCCACCCCCACGCUUUGCCUUUGCUCUUUCUUUCUCUAAGGCGGGAAGGCCAUGCCAAACCUUGCCCCCUAAUUUAGUAUUACAGUGAAAACAAACAAAACCAAAAGGUGUUUUUUUUCUUACACAGAUUUUGUUUACAAUUAUACUAUUCAUGAAUGGAAACAGUUAGUGCUUGAUUUGUUUUCUUAUGAUGUUUUGAAACCUAACAAUUAUUGAUCAACAAAAUCGAAAAAAAAAAAAAAGAAAAAGAAAACGAAAGCUUGCUUACUCUGUCACUGGGAAUUAGAAAAAGAAAAGCUUUGUAGUUAUGUUUUCAGAGGGAAAAUAAAAUCUGGGUUUUCAUUUUUUUUUCCUGUAAAAUUCAAUAUCUGAAAGUUUUACUUUUCUCUGUCAAAUGUGUGAGACAUCUCUUGUUAUCUUAUCUGUUGCUUAAGUUGGGAGCAUAUUUUUUUUGAAAAGAAAAUUUUUGUUUGAAAUUUGAAGAUUCGAUUCGUUUGAAGUUUCAGGUGAAGGAACAAAAAUAAAAACGCAGUGACGAAUUUAUUCUUUGCGUCUUUCUUUAUAAGAUUUGCUCGCCAAAGUUGAAGUCCUCUGGAGGGUUUUCUUGUCAUUUUCGUCCAAAAAAGUUGGACACUAAAGAGAGUCCUCCAGUUUUUGAAUUAGAAAAAUUGAAGCUUUUUUCUUUGGUAUUAGUGCAGGGUAAGUAAAUUUAAGUUCCUUUGAGUUCCGUCCUGUUUUUGUAAGAUGCUGAAGAAACGUGGAGCAUCAUUAUGGGGUUUUGGAUAUUGGGUUAUGGUGGUGGCUCUGAAGCUUUAAGAUAAGCAGCAAGAACGGUCCUUGUAUGUGCAUUUGUCUCAUAUUCUCUGCUUUUCUUUCUUUUUUUUUUUUUUGCUUCCAUGGCGAAAAUGAGGGGUUGCAUAGUCACUGUGGCUUUACUCUUGCUGCUACUUCUUUGCUUACACCAAACACCUGUAGAGUGCAAAGAAAGACUCAUUAGACAACUGUCUUCUCGGCCUUCUUCAGCUACAAAGCCUCAAGAAUUCAAGAUUGGGUUCAAAAGGGUAAUUCUCAGCAUUGUGCUGGGAAUUUUAACUGGAUUGAUUGGAGCUAUUCUUUUUGCUUUAUUGAUCAAAAUUGCUGUUCAGUACAUCAAUCAAACCCCAUUCCUUAAAGGUCCUGUUAUAUUUUCUCCCAAAAUAUCUUCCAAGACUCUCCAAUCAGCCCUUGCAAAUGAAAACCAGUUGCUAGGUUCAAGCUCCAACGGGAAGUACUAUAAGACGGUUCUUGAUAACGGGCUCACUGUUGCAGCCAAAGUGCUUGAACCCUUUGACAGUGGUUCCCCGGAGAUGCAGAGCAAGUCGGUGAAGAGAAGGAUACAACAAGAACUGGAGGUUCUUGCUAGUUUGAGGCACAGGCAUUUGAGGAGUUUAAGAGCUUAUGUUCGUGAAUCUGAUAGGUUUUCUUUGGUUUAUGAUUAUAUGCCCAUGGGGAGCCUUGAGGAUGCAAUGAAUGGAGUUAGGGAAAAUCACCUGGAGCUUAGAUGGGAUGUUAGGCUUAGGAUUGCUGUUGGGGUGAUUAAGGGUCUUCAAUAUCUUCACUUCACUUGCGUCCCUCAGAUUUUGCACUACAACUUGAAGCCCACAAAUGUGAUGUUAGAUGCUGAAUUUGAACCAAGGUUGGCUGAUUGUGGAUUGGCUAAGCUCAUGCCAAAUAUAGAUAGGGCAACUUCUGGUUACUGUGCUCCUGAGUGUUUACAGAACUGCAGGUAUACAGAUAAGAGUGAUAUCUUUAGCUUUGGGAUGAUAUUGGGUGUCCUGUUGACUGGCAGAUAUCCCACUGAUUCAUUUUUCCGGGAAGCAGUGAGUGGAGGGAGUUUAGGACAGUGGCUCCGACAUUUACAGCAGGCAGGGGAAGCACACGAAGCUUUAGAUAAAAGUAUUCUUGGGGAAGAAGUAGAGGAAGAUGAGAUGCUGAUGGCAGUGAGAAUUGCUGUUGUCUGCCUAUCGGAUUUGCCUGAUGAUAGGCCUUCCAGUGAUGAGCUUGUAACCAUGUUAACCCAGCUGCAUAGUUUCUAAUGGAAAUGGUAAAAACAAGAAGAAGUUCCCACAGCAAGAAUUCCAAAGUCUUACCAUGCACCGGGAGUAGAGAAACAUUCAGAUUCUACAUCCGAAGGCAGGGUUUUUCUAGACUCAGCUGUCAACAUCGGAUAUGGAAGCAGAGCAAAGCAAGAGAAAAGCUGAAGAGGAGGAAACUAGACCGAGCAUUAGAGUCAGUUCAACUCCACGUCCUCGGGCAGUCAUAUCUAGUAUGGUGAUUCUAAAUGAAACUUACAAGACUACAAGUAAAUAAAAUGGAAAGAAUUAUUCUGUUCUUAAAACUCCAAUUGCAGACAACAAACCAAUCCACAAGCUAAGAUCAGCAAAGAUUUUGAGCCGAGGGUCAGUGUUGGGCUAACCCCUUAACCCAUUUUUGAGGGUUUAAAUCUAUACCAACAACCGUGAGCCAUUAAAUUUUCCUGCUUAAACGGGUUUAAAUUUGAAGCAUAAGUUGCUAUCUGUCGAGUUCUAAGCUGGGGUUGUUUUCAAUAAUCAAUGACAAAAUACUUGGGCGUUUUUAUAGUAAAAGAAAAUCUAAGCAAAUGAGCUGAUUGGAGAACUCUAGAGACACCACCACCUCAAACUAGAUAAUGUUCACCUUAUCCACUCCAUUUUUAAAAUAUCUUCCCAUCAACCUUAUCUACUAUUCAUAUGCCAUUAAUAAAUUCAGCUGGUUUUUACACUUAAUUUUCGUACUUGCAGCGUCACACACGAUCCCGUACCAAAAAAUGCAGGCAGCCUUGAGCUUGGCACCUUCACCUCUCUCCAUAGUUACAACUACAAAACCCUUUCCGCCAUGUAAAUCCAUGCUAAAAUUGCAGACUCCAAGAGGUUUCAAAGCAACACCUGUUGGACAGGAUAACUCCACAGUUGAUUACAGCUCCACGGCCU